AAAAAGGUUCAUUGACGGGAAAAUUCCAUCCAAGCUGCUUUGGAAGACCAAUCCCCUCUCCUGAAGUGGAACUAUUUUGCAAUGCAGAACUUGGACUUAGAAGGCAUUUUUCUUUUGGCCUGCCAUCAGUGUAUUUUAUGUGGUCUGUGUAGCCUCCCAUAAGCCUGAAUCAGGCUAAACCAGAACUUGACCUUGCUGCUAAGGAGAUUAUCUAGGGUGGAGCCUUCCUCCCUAGACUACUUUAUUGUUGAGCCACAGUUGCUGUUCCUCUUCAAGAUACUGCUACCUGCUGAGAUGCCCCAGAGCUAUUCUGGAGAUUACGCCCUAUCCUGCAGGUCAUAACCUGCAGCUGGUUCCAGGCUCCAAGGAUGAAAUGGUGGGAAUGGACUUUCCCCUCCUCUUUUAUAAAGCGUGUCUGCCAUUAAACAUUUGAACCAUGAG
rnacentral:lncRNA from 1 species